rnacentral:rRNA from 1 species
UACGGAGGGUGCAAGCGUUAUCCGGAUUCACUGGGUUUAAAGGGAGCGUAGGUGGGUUGGUAAGUCCGUGGUGAAAUCUCCGAGCUUAACUUGGAAACUGCCAUGGAUACUAUCAGUCUUGAAUAUUGUGGAGGUCAGCGGAAUAUGUCAUGUAGCGGUGAAAUGCUUAGAUAUGACAUAGAACACCAAUUGCGAAGGCAGCUGGCUACGCAUAUAUUGACACUGAGGCUCGAAAGCGUGGGGAUCAAAACAGG